rnacentral:rRNA from 1 species
GAUGAACGCUAGCGGCAGGCUUAAUACAUGCAAGUCGAGGGGCAGCGCAGUGUAGCAAUACAUGGGCGGCGACCGGCAAACGGGUGCGGAACACGUACACAACCUUCCUACAUGUGGGGAAUAGCCCAGAGAAAUUUGGAUUAAUACCCCGUAACAUAGCGAUGUGGCAUCACAUUGCUAUUAUAGCUUCGGCGCUUGUUGAUGGGUGUGCGGCUGAUUAGAUAGUUGGCGGGGUAACGGCCCACCAAGUCUACGAUCAGUAGCUGAUGUGAGAGCAUGAUCAGCCACACGGGCACUGAGACACGGGCCCGACUCCUACGGGAGGCAGCAGUAAGGAAUAUUGGACAAUGGACGCAAGUCUGAUCCAGCCAUGCCGCGUGAAGGAUUAAGGUCCUCUGGAUUGUAAACUUCUUUUAUAAGGGACGAAAAAAGGUCUUUCUAGAUCGUCUGACGGUACCUUAUGAAUAAGCACCGGCUAACUCCGUGCCAGCCGCCGCCGUAACAC